rnacentral:misc_RNA from 1 species
GUUGAACUAGCAAAAGGGUUUAAAGAUGAUGUGUGGACUUAUUGAUCUGAAUACUGUGGAUAACGAUGAUGCCGGAGAAGAAACGACGGCGCCGGUGUCAUUGGAUUCACCGGCGUCGUCGUCGGCGGCAUCAGGAAGUUCGGAUUUAACGUCGUCAACUACGCCAGCGGUGGCAUCGGUGUGUAUGGAGCUUUGGCAUGCGUGUGCUGGACCGUUGAUUUCGCUGCCGAAGAAAGGAAGUGCGGUUGUGUACCUGCCUCAAGGUCACUUGGAACAUUUAUCUGAGUACCCGUCCAUAGCCUGUAAUCUCCCUCCUCAUGUGUUUUGUCGCGUUGUAGAUGUGAAGCUACAAGCAGAUGCGGCUACUGAUGAGGUCUAUGCACAAGUCUCACUAGUUCCUGACAAUCAGAUUGAGCAGAAAUGGAAGGAUGGAGACAUUGAUGCUGAUAUUGAAGAAGAGGAAAUAGAAGGUGCUGGAAAAUCAAUAACACCACACAUGUUCUGCAAAACUCUUACUGCAUCGGAUACCAGCACUCAUGGUGGUUUCUCUGUCCCUCGGCGGGCAGCAGAAGAUUGUUUUGCUCCCUUGGAUUACAGACAACAGAGGCCCUCGCAGGAGCUGGUAGCCAAAGAUCUACAUGGUAUAGAGUGGAAAUUUCGGCAUAUCUAUCGGGGUCAGCCACGGCGGCAUCUGCUCACUACAGGAUGGAGUGCAUUUGUAAACAAG